ensembl:antisense
AGCGAGCAGGAGGGGCCCCAUUCAGACCAUUUAGCUGCAGAGGAAGAACCCUGCAUGUCAGCCUCCUUGAACCAGGAGCAGCAUCAGAAGAAGACAGAGGCCCUGCAGGCAACGAGCUGGCCAAAGAACUCAGGGAUGCCUGGAAUCUCAGACAUCGCCUGUAGAAAGAGACGAGACCCAAAGAAGCGGGCAGCUGCGAUGCAACGCUUGCGGCAAUGGGAGGCCCAGAUGCUUCAGGAAAUUGAGGAGGCAGUUCAUCAUGAACUUACCAUCCAAGAGGGGGUUCUUAGCACUGAGCUCCCUGGCCAAGCCCAGGGGCCACUUAGCAUCAGUACAGUCAGGAGAGAUCCCCAGGGCCCUGCUGCCUUGGCAUGACUUCAUUGUCUACACCACACACUCCAGCUGGCCCAGGAGCGGGCCAGCAGCUGGGACUGUGCACAGGAACUUCAUAUUCCACACAGUGUUCUAAGUGGUCCACUUUAUAUUUAAACAUCUGCAUGUUUUACAAGCUACUUUCUAUUAAAAUAAUUCUCUAUUUUCAUUUGUGUAAUUAUCUGGUUAUAAAAUCAGCCUUGUGAACAUGUCAGAACUUUACUAAUUUUUCAAAGACAGAAUACUAUUUUUAAAACCUGGUUAGAACUGUGUAACAUGGAGAUGAAUGCAUCAGAGAAAAGUUCUUCCAAUCUUCAUUAUUAAAAAUAAACUCUUUUCAUGAGAACU